GGGUUGUGAGGUUAAGCGACUAAGCGUACACGGUGGAUGCCCUGGCAGUCAGAGGCGAUGAAGGACGUGCUAAUCUGCGAAAAGCGUCGGUAAGGUGAUAUGAACCGUUAUAACCGGCGAUGUCCGAAUGGGGAAACCCAGUGCAAUUCGUUGCACUAUCGUUAACUGAAUACAUAGGUUAACGAGGCGAACCGGGGGAACUGAAACAUCUAAGUACCCCGAGGAAAAGAAAUCAACCGAGAUUCCCCCAGUAGCGGCGAGCGAACGGGGAGCAGCCCAGAGUCUGAAUCAGCUUGUGUGUUAGUGGAACGGUCUGGAAAGUCCGACGGUACAGGGUGAUAGUCCCGUACACCAAAAUGCACAGGCUGUGAACUCGAAGAGUAGGGCGGGACACGUGGUAUCCUGUCUGAAUAUGGGGGGACCAUCCUCCAAGGCUAAAUACUCCUGACUGACCGAUAGUGAACCAGUACCGUGAGGGAAAGGCGAAAAAGAACCCCGGCGAGGGGAGUGAAAAAAGAACCUGAAACCGUGUACGUACAAGCAGUGGGAGCACCUUCGGGUGUGACUGCGUACCUUUUGUAUAAUGGGUCAGCGACUUAUAUUCUGUAGCAAGGUUAACCGUAUAGGGGAGCCGCAGGGAAACCGAGUCUUAACUGGGCGUUAAGUUGCAGGGUAUAGACCCGAAACCCGGUGAUCUAGCCAUGGGCAGGUUGAAGGUUGGGUAACACUAACUGGAGGACCGAACCGACUAAUGUUGAAAAAUUAGCGGAUGACUUGUGGCUGGGGGUGAAAGGCCAAUCAAACCGGGAGAUAGCUGGUUCUCCCCGAAAGCUAUUUAGGUAGCGCCUCGUGAACUCAUCUUCGGGGGUAGAGCACUGUUUCGGCUAGGGGGUCAUCCCGACUUACCAACCCGAUGCAAACUACGAAUACCGAAGAAUGUUAUCACGGGAGACACACGGCGGGUGCUAACGUCCGUCGUGAAGAGGGAAACAACCCAGACCGCCAGCUAAGGUCCCAAAGUCAUGGUUAAGUGGGAAACGAUGUGGGAAGGCACAGACAGCCAGGAUGUUGGCUUAGAAGCAGCCAUCAUUUAAAGAAAGCGUAAUAGCUCACUGGUCGAGUCGGCCUGCGCGGAAGAUGUAACGGGGCUAAACCAUGCACCGAAGCUGCGGCAGCGACACUAUGUGUUGUUGGGUAGGGGAGCGUUCUGUAAGCCUGCGAAGGUGACCUGUGAGGGUUGCUGGAGGUAUCAGAAGUGCGAAUGCUGACAUAAGUAACGAUAAAGCGGGUGAAAAGCCCGCUCGCCGGAAGACCAAGGGUUCCUGUCCAACGUUAAUCGGGGCAGGGUGAGUCGACCCCUAAGGCGAGGCCGAAAGGCGUAGUCGAUGGGAAACAGGUUAAUAUUCCUGUACUUGGUGUUACUGCGAAGGGGGGACGGAGAAGGCUAUGUUAGCCGGGCGACGGUUGUCCCGGUUUAAGCAUGUAGGCUGGUUAUCCAGGCAAAUCCGGAUAAUCAAGGCUGAGGUGUGAUGACGAGGCACUACGGUGCUGAAGUAACAAAUGCCCUGCUUCCAGGAAAAGCCUCUAAGCAUCAGGUAACAUCAAAUCGUACCCCAAACCGACACAGGUGGUCAGGUAGAGAAUACCAAGGCGCUUGAGAGAACUCGGGUGAAGGAACUAGGCAAAAUGGUGCCGUAACUUCGGGAGAAGGCACGCUGGUGUGUAGGUGAAGUCCCUGCGGAUGGAGCUGAGACCAGUCGAAGAUACCAGCUGGCUGCAACUGUUUAUUAAAAACACAGCACUGUGCAAACACGAAAGUGGACGUAUACGGUGUGACGCCUGCCCGGUGCCGGAAGGUUAAUUGAUGGGGUUAUCCGUAAGGAGAAGCUCUUGAUCGAAGCCCCGGUAAACGGCGGCCGUAACUAUAACGGUCCUAAGGUAGCGAAAUUCCUUGUCGGGUAAGUUCCGACCUGCACGAAUGGCGUAAUGAUGGCCAGGCUGUCUCCACCCGAGACUCAGUGAAAUUGAACUCGCUGUGAAGAUGCAGUGUACCCGCGGCAAGACGGAAAGACCCCGUGAACCUUUACUAUAGCUUGACACUGAACAUUGAGCCUUGAUGUGUAGGAUAGGUGGGAGGCUUUGAAGCGUGGACGCCAGUCUGCGUGGAGCCAACCUUGAAAUACCACCCUUUAAUGUUUGAUGUUCUAACGUUGGCCCCUGACCGGGGUUGCGGACAGUGUCUGGUGGGUAGUUUGACUGGGGCGGUCUCCUCCCAAAGCGUAACGGAGGAGCACGAAGGUUAGCUAAUCCUGGUCGGACAUCAGGAGGUUAGUGCAAUGGCAUAAGCUAGCUUGACUGCGAGCGUGACGGCGCGAGCAGGUGCGAAAGCAGGUCAUAGUGAUCCGGUGGUUCUGAAUGGAAGGGCCAUCGCUCAACGGAUAAAAGGUACUCCGGGGAUAACAGGCUGAUACCGCCCAAGAGUUCAUAUCGACGGCGGUGUUUGGCACCUCGAUGUCGGCUCAUCACAUCCUGGGGCUGAAGUAGGUCCCAAGGGUAUGGCUGUUCGCCAUUUAAAGUGGUACGCGAGCUGGGUUUAGAACGUCGUGAGACAGUUCGGUCCCUAUCUGCCGUGGGCGCUGGAGAAUUGAGGGGGGCUGCUCCUAGUACGAGAGGACCGGAGUGGACGCAUCACUGGUGUUCGGGUUGUCAUGCCAAUGGCACUGCCCGGUAGCUAAAUGCGGAAGAGAUAAGUGCUGAAAGCAUCUAAGCACGAAACUUGCCCCGAGAUGAGUUCUCCCUGAGACUAUAAGUCUCCUGAAGGAACGUUGAAGACGACGACGUUGAUAGGCCGGGUGUGUAAGCGCAGCGAUGCGUUGAGCUAACCGGUACUAAUGAACCGUGAGGCUUAACCUUACAACGCCGAAG
rnacentral:rRNA from 1 species